UGCCCGAAGGGUGACGAAGCGACGCCGCGUGGGUGAGGAAGGCCUUCGGGUUGUAAAGCCCUGUCAGGAGUUAAGAAAUGUAGACUCGCUAAUAUCGGGUCUAUUUGACAAAGGCUCCAAAGGAAGCCACGGCUAACUCUGUGCCAGCAGCCGCGGUAAUACAGAGGUGGCAAGCGUUGUUCGGAAUUAUUGGGCGUAAAGAGCACGUAGGUGGAUUUGUAAGUCAGACGUGAAAGCCUUCUGUUCAACGGAAGAAUUGCAUCUGAAACUACAAACCUUGAGUGUAGGAGGGGGGAAUGGAACUUCUGGUGGAGCGGUGAAAUGCGUAGAUAUCAGAAGGAACGCCGGCGGCGAAAGCGAUUCUUUGGCCUAUUACUGACACUCAGUGUGCGAAAGCUAGGGGAGCAAACGGGAUUAGAUACCCCGGUAGUCCUAGCCGUAAACGAUGGGCACUAAGUAGAGGGGU
rnacentral:rRNA from 1 species